GCUAGCCUCACGCGGAGAAUGCAUGGUGNUGCUGCUGCUGCGCUGCGCGGAUACAUUUGGCGCAGCGAGGAGUCUUGGAAGCAAGCAGAGGCAGGAGCCCGGCCACUAGGAGCCCUGUCUUCCUUUCCCUGUGGUAACCCUCAUUUGGGAGUUCGAGCCUGUUGACGCGUGUCGUAUCCUCUGGUCCCAUCUUCCCUCCAGGGCGCUCCUCUCAGUCUUCACAGAACGAGAAACACUCGCACCAAGAGAGCAAUUACUUUGCCUUUCCUGGCCUCUGUGAAAAGANCGAGGUCCAGUAUGUAUAUCAGUUAGAUACCUGAAUUUUAGAGAACAGUGGUGUGACGGAAGUUGGGAAGAGCUAUCCGGAAUUCUGCAGUUGGGAGAGAAAUUGGGGGCUGUUUCCCCUUUCCUGCUUUCAUCUCUGUGUGCGUUGUGGGGCGUAUGCAGGGAACAACCCAUACCGGCAAGGAGGGUAGCAAGUGGGGAGAAGGAUUGAAACGGGGGUUUGAACACAAAGAGUUGAGGUGGGUGUGGAAAUGAAGAGGACUGGUUGAGUAAGAGAGAUCUGUGGGGAAGGGUGGAAGAGGUUUGCUGGACAGUGAUGUUGUAGACUGGUGAAGGAUAGUGCAAGGAAGUAGCAUUAAAUGGGUUUGAAGGGGAACAGGAGGAAAGGGAAAGCUGCAUGUUGUAGACUAUGACAAACAUGGAGGCAGCUGAUCUGAGGGGGAAAGAGUUGAGAUGAAAUGGGCAAAGAGCAUUGAGGAUGAGAGAGGGGCAUAUAGGGAGCAGACUGUAUCUGAGAUGUGAAUAUAAACAAUGGCUGGGGUAGAGUAGAUGGGCUUUGGAGCCAAGAAUUGCGCUGGGGCUGGACAGAAAUAGAAGAGAGGAAUAUACAGAGCUUUGCAGCAGCANUGAGAGGCUGAACACAAAGAAAGAUAGAGUUGAAAAAGAAGCCAAGAAUGUUGGGAAGGCCAGUAAUCAUCAUCCAUUUCCUAUGAGUGUGAAGUAAAUCUGAUGACUAAUAGAUGCGUCCUCUGCCUUUCUCUGUAUGUGCAUACAUGUACCAAGCAUCUUUUGUGCAUUUCUUUUAAUAGUUGCGUUCAGUUAGACUUUUAGUUGGUUUUCAAUAAAUAGUUUAAAAAGCCCUUUUCGUCUUUUUUU
rnacentral:lncRNA from 1 species